UACGAAGGGGGCUAGCGUUGUUCGGAAUUACUGGGCGUAAAGGGUUUGUAGGCGGUUCGUCACGUCGGGAGUGAAAACUCGGAGCUUAACUCCGAGCCUGCUCCCGAUACGGGCAGACUAGAGGUAGGCAGGGGAGAGCGGAACUCCUGGUGUAGCGGUGGAAUGCGCAGAUAUCAGGAGGAACACCGAUGGCGAAGGCAGGUCUCUGGGCAUUAACUGACGCUGAGGAGCGAAAGCAUGGGGAGCGAACAGG
rnacentral:rRNA from 1 species